GGGCACACCCGUAGACCUCGCCUGACUCUGCCCGUGGCCGGGCGAGGGGGACAGUGUGUGCAAGAGUCACGGGGAGUUCUUACCAGCUCCAGCCAGCUCGCUCGCCGGCUGGAUAAAUGCAGUGCUCCCAACAUUC
rnacentral:snoRNA from 10 species